AGAGUUGAUCUGGCUCAGGAUGAACGCUAGCUACAGGCUUAACACAUGCAAGUCGAGGGGCAGCAUGAAGUUUGCUUGCAAACUUGAUGGCGACCGGCGCACGGGUGAGUAACGCGUAUCCAACCUUCCCUAUACUAGAGGAUAGCCCGGCGAAAGUCGGAUUAAUACUCUAUAUUCUUCGUAGAAGACAUCUGAAAUGAAGCAAAGGUUUACCGGUAUAGGAUGGGGAUGCGUCUGAUUAGGUUGUUGGCGGGGUAACGGCCCACCAAGCCCACGAUCAGUAGGGGUUCUGAGAGGAAGGUCCCCCACAUUGGAACUGAGACACGGUCCAAACUCCUACGGGAGGCAGCAGUGAGGAAUAUUGGUCAAUGGACGAGAGUCUGAACCAGCCAAGUAGCGUGCAGGAUGACGGCCCUAUGGGUUGUAAACUGCUUUUAUACAGGGAUAAAGUGACGUACGUGUACGUUUUUGUAGGUACUGUAUGAAUAAGGACCGGCUAAUUCCGUGCCAGCCGCGGC
rnacentral:rRNA from 1 species